rnacentral:lncRNA from 1 species
UAUAUUAUAAUAAUAUUAUAUUACAUUACAUUAAUAUUAUACUAUAUCAUAUAUUUAUGUAUUAAUACAUAUUAUAUUUUAUUAUGCUCUGUUGUAUAAUACUGGCAAUGUUCUUUAUGGUCAUUUUGUCAUACAAAAGUACUUUCUUAGUUUAUUUACCAAACACAUGUUAAAGUGUCGCGGCACUUUAGAAAUAUAGUUACCAAACAACAAACAGCUUUUUAUAAACGCUCUGCUUCAGACAGCUCUACUUCCAACAGCUCUACUUCCAAAAGCUCUACUACUAACAGCUCUCCCAAACAGG